GUAGGUGGCAAGCGUUGUCCGGGAAUUAUUGGGGCGUAAAGCGGGCGCAGGCGGUUCUCUAAGUCUGAUGUGAAAGCCCACGGGCUCAACCGUGGAGGGUCAUUGGAAACUGGAGAACUUGAGUACAGAAGAGGAAAGCGGAAUUCCACGUGUAGCGGUGAAAUGCGUAGAGAUGUGGAGGAACACCAGUGGCGAAGGCGGCUUUCUGGUCUGUAACUGACGCUGAGGCGCGAAAGCGUGGGGAGCAAACAGGAUUAGAUACCCUGGUAGUCCACGCCGUAAACGAUGAGUGCUAAGUGUUAGGGGGUUUCCGCCCCUUAGUGCUGCAGCUAACGCAUUAAGCACUCCGCCUGGGGAGUACGGCCGCAAAGGCUGA
rnacentral:rRNA from 1 species